UGAGUGUGUGUGUGUGUGUGUGUUUCCUCGAAUGUUCAUUUGGUGGCGCUGUGGCUCCUGUUUGGCCACUUUGAUUGAAAGACUGCGAAUGGAGAAAAACGCAGAACUUAAUCCAUUGGCAUCAGAUCCUGUGUAUGUCUAGCUGUGCAUCAUGGAAAGAAAGGUGUCAAAACUUAAUGCAACUAAAUACAGACAUAAGAAUGAUCAGAAAACUCAAGCAAGCAACUUAAAAAACAAAACAAAAAACAAAGGAACAAACUCAGAGAGGCAGAGGACACCGCUGAACAGCUGAUCUGCCGUUAGCUGCGUAAAUUUCCCUCACGGUGAGCAGCUCCCAGAGCCCAGCUGAAUUAAUCACAGCCACACGGACGCGGGGGAGGGGUGGGGGGCAGCCUGAGGAUGAGGACGGAGAGAAGGGUAGAAGAACCCGUGCUGUGAGAAGAGGUCAGAGCUGGAACAUCCAUGGAGUGAAAGGGAUUCUGACAUUUCCCCCACCACAUUCAAAGCCACCAAGCUCUACAGUAGUAGAAAACUUCAGACCUGUCUCUCCUCUCCGUUUCUUGGCAAAAACACUUGAGGGAGUGGUUUUCAAUCAGGAAAAAUUGUUACGCAACUCUUGCCAGUUGAAAGUGCAGGGACAGUCGUGCUUCAGAAAGGAUGAGAUGCAUCAAACCAUGUGACUGUACUGUAAGAGCUCUGGAUAUAUGAAACAAGCCUGACAGGAUGAGAGCUG
ensembl:lncRNA